GAUGAAGAACGUAGCAAAAUGCGAUAAGUAAUGUGAAUUGCAGAAUUCAGUGAAUCAUCGAAUCUUUGAACGCACAUUGCGCCCGCCAGUAUUCUGGCGGGCAUGCCUGUUCGAGCGUCAUUUCAACCCUCAAGCCCUCGGGUUUGGUGUUGGGGAUCGGCGAGCCUUUCUGGCAAGCCGGCCCCGAAAUCUAGUGGCGGUCUCGCUGCAGCCUCCAUUGCGUAGUAGUAAAACCCUCGCAACUGGAACGCGGCGCGGCCAAGCAGUUAAACCCCCAACUUCUGAAUGUUGACCUCGGAUCAGGUAGGAAUACCCGCUGAACUUAAGCAUAUCAAUAAGCGGAGGA
rnacentral:misc_RNA from 1 species